CCUGUCAAUACUUCAUGGUUCCCUUCUUUUCCAGGGCAUUUGCCUUAUCCAUGAUCAGGACGGUUGCUUUGGUGAUGUCUGUUUUGCUCCGUGACUGAGGGAAAGAAAACACGACUGGCUCAGAGAUGGUGAGUGGUCUCAGUCAGCAUGUGAAAUCCACAGGUUUUGAAAUAUGUGAAAGUGCCACAGAGCCUGAGAUUUCUCCUUCAGAGCAGUCUGAUGCGUCAAUUAUUUCAGGCCUAGAGACACCAU
rnacentral:lncRNA from 1 species